AACGAACGCUGGCGGCAUGCCUAACACAUGCAAGUCGAACAAGACCUUCGGGUCUAGUGGCGCACGGGUGCGUAACGCGUGGGAACCUGCCCUUAGGUUCGGAAUAACUCCCCGAAAGGGGUGCUAAUACCGGAUAAUGUCUUCGGACCAAAGAUUUAUCGCCGUUGGAUGGGCCGGCGUUGGAUUAGCUAGUUGGUAGGGUAAAAGCCUACCAAGGCGACGAUCCAUAGCUGGUCUGAGAGGAUGAUCAGCCACACUGGGACUGAGACACGGCCCAGACUCCUACGGGAGGCAGCAGUGGGGAAUAUUGGAAAAUGGGCGAAAGCAUGAUCCAGCAAUGCCGCGUGAGUGAUGAAGGCCUUAGGGUUGUAAAGCUCUUUUACCCGGGAUGAUAAUGACAGUACCGGGAGAAUAAGCUCCGGCUAACUCCGUG
rnacentral:rRNA from 1 species